rnacentral:tRNA from 2 species
GGCCUGGUGGCUCAGUUGGUUAGAGCGCCGCCCUGUCACGGCGGAGGUCGUCGGUUCGAGUCCGAUCCGGGUCG